AUGUCGCUAGAUCGUCCCACAGUCGUGAGAAAAUAUUACAUAUAGUUCGGAAAUAAAUACAAGUUGCUUUGGUACUAACAUCUAUUUUUUGACGGAUUUUUAUGCAAAUAAAAUAUGUAUGUUACAGUUUUAAAUACGUGAAUUAAAAAUUCAUUUUUCAUGACGUAUUAAUUAUUUGGUUUGUGUUAUUCAAAACAAUCACGUAUCUUAACCCUGACUUUAAUGACUUUAUGAAAAGGAACAUUUAUUUAUUAAUAUCAUGUCGUUGCGUCAACUUCUGCGUGUAUUAUUGAAAAGAGCUAGUCCUGUUAUGUAUGCUACAAGCUUUACAUUUGUAAACCAACCAGAAACUAAUAAACCCACAGAAAAUGAUAAAUUACAAUUUGAACCUGUUGAUGUAAAAAAAUUAACUCCUGAAUAUAUGAUACAACAAUCAACUAUAGAUGCUGUUAACAGUGCAACUCAAUCGUUAACUGUUACAUAUACAGCAAUAAUAAAAACAAGUAAAGAAUAUAAGGAAUUGUUAAGUGAAUUAAUUACCCUUUCAAGGGAAACCUUAGAGUUUAAUGUUAGUGAUUCACAUUGGGACAUGAUAGUUGAACUAAGGUCACAAGUACAAAGUAAAAAAGAAAUCUUAACUAAGUUAACAGGAUAUAUUGAAUAUGUUCAUAAAAUGGCAGUAGCUGCUUCAGAAUUAAGUUACUUGUCAGGAUUGGAUAAUUUGUCUUUCACUCUUACUCAGAGAAUAGAUGAUGCAUUAAGGAUUAUAAAGGAAGAAGUUAAUCAUAUUAUGAUACUUGAACAAGAAUACUGUGGUGUACAAAAAGAAUGUAUAAAAAAUUCCAGUAAAACAAAUAAUGAAUCCGCAGUUAAAGAGAAACCAAAUGAUCUAGUUUGAUGAAAUAUUUUUUGUUUACAGUUUAUAGUUUAUGUUUAAGUUUUUGUACAAAAUACAGAGAUAAUAAAAUUCUAUAUAAUCCGAAAAAAUAGAGAACAAUAAAUUCUGUAUAGCUAGUUUUAAAUAAAACAAUUGCUCAUCAAGCAUCAAGAUGUAUUGUUACAAUAUGUCUACCAGGUAUCAUUACUAAACCAAGAGUUCUUGCUUCUGUGUGAUCCUCUGACAAAAAUUCUGAA